GACGAACGCUGGCGGCGUGCUUAACACAUGCAAGUCGAACGAAGUGGCGAACGGGUGAGUAAUACGUGGGUAACCUGCCCUCCUUUUGGGGAUAAGCCUUGGAAACGGGGUCUAAUACCGAAUAAGGGGGGAUGGGCUCGCGGCCUAUACGCUUGUUGGUGGGGUGAUGGCCUACCAAGGCGUUGACGGGUAGCCGGCCUGAGAGGGUGCACGGCAACAGUGGGACGGAGAAACGGCCCAGACUACGACGGGGUGGGGCAGUGGGGGCUAUUGCACAAAGGCCGAAAGCCUGAUGCAGCGACGCCGCGUGGGGGAUGAGGGCUGUCGAGUUGUAAACCUCUUUCGCAAUCGAAUGGGUAGGUGGAGAAGAAGCGCCGGCUAACUACGUGCCAGCAGCCGCGGUAAUAC
rnacentral:rRNA from 1 species